rnacentral:rRNA from 2 species
UACAGAGGGUGCGAGCGUUAAUCGGAAUUACUGGGCGUAAAGGGUGCGUAGGUGGUUGAAUUAGUUAGGUGUGAAAUUCCUGGGCUUAACCUGGGGACUGCGCCUAAUACUGUUUAGCUAGAGUAUUGUAGAGGAAAGUGGAAUUUCCGGUGUAGCGGUGAAAUGCGUAGAUAUCGGAAGGAACAUCAGUGGCGAAGGCGACUUUCUGGACAAAUACUGACACUGAGGCACGAAAGCAUGGGGAGCAAACAGG